ACAUUUGGCCAGCGAGAGCUCCACGAUACCUGCAGGGAUAGGGAGCUCGCCCUAGCUCACAGUGAGCUAGAGCAACGGAGAUCAUGCGGCCUGACCCGCCUGAGCCCUGCGUGGCUGCUGUAAACGAACUGGGGUAGAUCCACUCACGGUACGUGCGAGAAGCAGUGCAGUAGACGGCAAUAUCUCAGCCAUCACACAGGAUAUAACUCUUCUUUGGAGCCAUAUGACAGACGUAUACAGCUGAAAUGGAAUUUCCCUUCAACCGUACAAUAUUUCAGGGCUUAUAUUUCAGGAAUCAGUGUUAGCUCCAAGUAGCAGUUGCAGAAAAAGGACAACAACAAGUGGCACUAUUCGUGUAUUCCUCCAAAGUGCUCAUGCCAAUCAUGCCAUAGCUGAACUUUCCUGAAAGACUGAGUCAAUGACAAAUCUAAGACUUCAACACACGUGCAGCGUUUCAACCGAGAGUCAACACCCUCCAUUGUAGUGUUCGGCAGGCUUUUCAAUUGGAGAUUGGGCUGAUUUCAAUCGUAAUAUGUUAAUUAGUUAUAAUAAUAAUAAUAUUCAGUUCUU